rnacentral:rRNA from 1 species
AUUGAACGCUGGCGGCAGGCCUAACACAUGCAAGUCGAGCGAGAGGCGGAGGGGUGUGAAAAGUCUGGGAAACUGCCCGAUGGAGGGGGAUAUCAACUCGAAAAGGUGGAUAAUACCCCAUACGCUCUGAUGUGCCCAGAUAGGAGUAGCUCGAAGGUGGGGUAACGGCUCACCUAGGCGACGAUCCCCAGCUGGUCUGUGAGGAUGACCAGCCACACUGGAACUGAGACACGGUCCAGACUCCUACGGGAGGCAGCAGUGGUGAAUAUUGCACAAUGGGCGCAAGCCUGAUGCAGCCAUGCCGCGUGUAUGAAGAAGGCCUUCGGGUUGUAAAGCACUUUCAGCGGGGAGGCGUUACCCGCAGAAGAAGCACUGGCUAACUCCGUGCCAGCAGCCGCGGUAAUAC